GACGAACGCUGGCGGCGUGGAUUAGGCAUGCAAGUCGAACGGUAUCAUCCUUUCGGGGGUGAGAGAGUGGCGAACUGGUGAGUAACACGUAGGUUAUCUACCCUCAAGACGGGGACAACCCAGGGAAACUUGGGCUAAUACCGGAUGUGAGCAACUUUUAGUUGUUUGAAAGGUGGCGUAAGCUGUCGCUUGGGGAUGAGCCUGCGUCCUAUUAGUUAGUUGGUGAGGUAACGGCUCACCUAGGCAAUGAUAGGUAGGCGGCCUUAACGGGUGGUCGCCCACACUGGGAUUGAGAUACGGCCCAGACUCCUACGGGAGGCAGCAGUCGAGAAUAGGUCUACAAUGGUCGGAAGACUGAUAGUGCGACGCCGCGUGAACGAUGAAUCCCUUCGGGGUGUAAAGUUCUUUUAUAUGUGAGCAGUGCUUCUUAUAUUAACAGUAUGGGGAGAGAGAUAUUAGCAUAUGAAUAAGCAACGGCUAACUCCGUGCCAGCAGCCGCGGUAAGCUCG
rnacentral:rRNA from 1 species